UGAGACAGUAACAUGUCAAUAGAACCGACGAAACUUUUUCUUUUCUCGUAAAUUUGUAUCUAUUAUAAUGAUAAAAAACAUUCUUAUUCUAAUUCGUUGUUUACUCAACGUUACACUAGGAUCGAUAUAAAUAAAUGCAAAAAAGAAAAAUAUAAUGUAAUGUAUGAACACAAAAAGAAGAAGAAGAAGACUCGUCUCCGGUCCUGUGAACUUUCGUAGAGCUUGUAGAUUCGAAAGGUGCGACGUUGAUGGCAAGAAGACAUGGAGGAAGCGUGGGCGGAGGCGCGCCCUCUCGCUUGCUCCUAGCAAGUUCUGUUUAUCUCUCUCACUCAUUCGCACGCUCGCACACGCGCCCUCUCUUUAUCUCGUUUUCUCUUGAUCACUCCGAGAAGAAGUCAUACGAAAGAGGAGAGACAGAAACGGACCAUGUCGGUUGGGUUGUAGAUCGGCAGAGGAGGAUUACGAAGUGUUAGCUUCUUUAUAACACAUUACUUUUUACGAACUCUUUAUCAAAAACGACGUAGAAUGAAAAGGCGAGCAAACUGCGACUCGCCGCCACCAACGAGGAACUUCGGAAUCGACCAAGAGACGCGGCGGGGGUGAAAUUAUGUUGUCUGGAACAAGUCGCUAGCUUGCAGUAAACGGAAAAGAGAAAAAGAAAAAUAAGCUUCUUCUUGUUUUCUUUUCUUUUCUUUCCUUUUUUUCCCUUCCCUCUUUUUUUUGGUUGCUUUUCUUCGUUUCGGUGCUACGAGGAAGAUAAAAAAAAAAGUAACGCGCUCGUACCCUUCUUUCGUUCCUCUUUCAUUCCUUUCUGUCUUCGGUUGAUUCGUAAUAGCAAAAUUUUUGUUUUCGAGAAAGAGAUAGACAAGAGAAUCUGUUCAAAGAACCAUUGCCGUCAUCGUGUACGUUUGAAAGGUGUGCUGCGUGUUCCGCGGUGUGUUACAUCGCGAGGUGGACUCGCGUUGAGGCUUAUCGGUGAUCGAUCGAGUAAACGAUACGGGGCAGCGCGCGCGGAGGGGCGGUGGGGGGGAAGGGCUAGAUA